ACACCUCAACUCUCAUGGCUUUGCCAUGACGAGCUUGGACUUUGGGGGUCUUGCUGGCCUGCGGUCGGCUCCUCUCAAAUGAAUUAGCUUGCCAGUGUUUGGUGGCAUCACGGGUGUGAUAACUAUCUACGCUUGUGGUUUUCCACCAGGUAACCUUCAGUGAUGAAGGUUCGCUGGGGCUCAUAAAUGUCUCUCCUCAGCGAGGACAGCUCUUUGAAC
rnacentral:misc_RNA from 2 species